UUAUUUUUGUUUUUCUUGGGAUCUGACUUUUGGGAGGCUUUAAGUGAUUAUGAUUGCACUUCCCUCCACCUGGAAACCACCUCUUCCUUCUCUGAUCUCACCUUGGCUUAGCUCUCCAACACAAGACUCUGUGGUGUCUGCCCAUGCCCACUACUCUCACUGUUGAGAAUAGUAUUCAAUAUCUGUUUAACAUAUAUAACUACUUUUAACAAACACUGAAUACUCCUUUUUACUAAAGGUGUAAAGACUGUCAAGCUUUGGAUUUUCUCUGUUAAUAAUCAAAGUUUAUAGAAAUUUUAAUACUUACCUAGAUAUUCUGCAAGGUGAUCAAAUUCUGGUUUAUUGGCAAUGAGCUCUUCUUUUGUAGGAAUGUUUAUUCCCAUGAAGCAUGGAUAUUUAAUUGGUGGUGAAGCUACUCGAAUGUGUACCUUGGAAAGAAAUCAUUGCACACAAGGUUUUUAAGACUAUGCAAAAUUCUUUCAUUGUGCAAAUACAAUACAAAAUUGUUUUGCAGAAUAUUCAGUAACAACAUAUGGGUAAUAAAUUAUUCUUUCUACAAA
ensembl:lncRNA novel transcript